CACACCCUUCUCCAUAUGUAUUUGUGCACGUGUAUGUCUGUUGGAAAGAUGGGUCCUAGAAAUAGAGUUGAGAGGGUAGAAGUUUAUGCAAGUUUUGAAGUUUGAUGGAAUCUGCCAUUGCCCUUGGAAAAAGCUGUGCCUUGUCAUUUUGAGUGGAACCUACACUGUCAGCUUUCCUGGUUCUCAGGCCUUUGGACUCAGACUGGAACUGCACCAUCAGCUCUCCUGGGGCUCUAGCUUGUCAAUUACAGGUCUUGGGACUUCACAGCUUUCAUAAUUGCAUGAGCCAAUUCCUGAUUCUCUCUCUCUCUCUCUGUAUAUGUAUGCAAGGAUUCCUCUCGUGGUGACAAGAUGGCUGCCGCAGCUCUGAGAAUCACAUCCUCACAAGAUAGCAUCCAGAUCCAGGAAGGGAAGACAGCCAAAGCAGGAAAGGCACUUUCUCUGCAUGUACCACUCUUUUAUUAAAGGGACUGUGAAGAUUACCU
rnacentral:lncRNA from 1 species